UACGGAGGGUGCAAGCGUUGCUCGGAAUUAUUGGGCGUAAAGGGUAGGUAGGUGGUCUUAUUUGUCUGGGGUGAAAGCCUUGAGCUUAACUCAAGAAGUGCCCCAGAAACGGUGAGACUGGAGUCCUGGAGAGGGUCGUGGAAUUCCCGGUGUAGCGGUGAAAUGCGUAGAGAUCGGGAGGAACACCAGAGGCGAAAGCGGCGACCUGGACAGGUACUGACACUCAACUACGAAAGCGUGGGGAGCAAACAGG
rnacentral:rRNA from 1 species